UCCAGCUGGCUCCGUAGAUUCGCUUCUGCUCUACAUCUCAUAGAAAAAAUGCUUGUAUGCAUAUAGAUGCAGAUACAAAUAUGCAAAUCUCUCCUACAAGGAAAGCAAAAAGAGAGAUAGUUGAGAUAGGGAAAGAACACUCCAGUGUGCAGCAAAGCUGGAUGGAAAAUGAAUACAAAAAUCACAUUUUGUGGUUUAUACGUUUGAAAAGCCACCUGGAGUGUUAAUGGGAGGUCAUGAUCCGAAAGAAAGCAUUGAACACCAUGAGAGAAAAUAUGCGUACUGCAGUUCUCUUCUGGGAAAGAAUGUGCUGUAUGCAGGUGCUGUGAAGAUGCAGUCCCAUAGUAAGCAUCCCAUAGUAAGCAUGUGUUAUCAGGCAGUCACAUACUGAGACUUACGAGUACACACAGCGAUACAACACAAGGCAGUACAGAGUACUCAGAAAAGCUCUGUAAUAAGCUGUGUUUUGGUGUUACUAGGCAAAUUGCUCACUCGAGGCUAAAUUGUGCACCCUACAGUACACUUGAAUGUAGAUAUACC
rnacentral:lncRNA from 1 species